rnacentral:rRNA from 1 species
UACGUAGGUGGCAAGCGUUAUCCGGAAUACUGGGCGUAAAGCGCACGCAGGCGGUCUGUUAAGUUUUGACGUGAAAGCUCCCGGCUUAACUGGGAGAGGUCGUUGAAGACUGGCAGACUUGAGGCGAUGAGAGGGGUGUAGAAUUCCCGGUGUAGUGGUGGAAUGCGUAGAUAUCGGGAGGAACACCAGUGGCGAAGGCGACUACCUGGCCUGUUCUUGACGCUGAGGCGGCGAAAAGCUAGGGGGAGCAAACGGG